rnacentral:lncRNA from 1 species
AUUAUAUAGAUAUGACAUAUCUGAAUUGAUCAUAAUGCAAGACAGAAUUGAUUUGAUGAAAUCAACACAAAAUGAUUAAAUGAAAAGAAAGAGAUAUAUGGUAUGGACUAGUCUUGUCAUGUGGAACAGUCCGCCAGGAGCUUAUGCUUGGGACAGCCCCCACUGGCUUACAGGUGGAUCAGCCGGUCAGGAGCUCAUGCUUGGGACAGCCCGCCAGAAGCUUAUG